GACGAACCGUGCGAACGUUGUUCGGAAUCACUGGGCUUAAAGGGCGCGUAGGCGGUCUGCCAAGUCCGGGGUGAAAGCCCCCAGCUCAACUGGGGAAGUGCCUUGGAUACUGGCGGACUCGAGCGAGGUAGGGGUCGUGGGAACUUCCGGUGGAGCGGUGAAAUGCGUUGAUAUCGGAAGGAACGCCGGUGGCGAAGGCGGGUCUCUGGGCCGAUACUGACGCUGAGGAGCGAAAGCGUGGGGAGCGAACAGG
rnacentral:rRNA from 1 species